rnacentral:rRNA from 1 species
AUGUACAUUCUUACAACAUAGUGUUAAUGCAUCGGAUCCAAUUAGAACUUUGCAGUUAAGUGCACUCGGGAUAGACUAGUAUUGGGAUGGGUGACCACCCAGGAAGUCCUAGUAUUUUACAUG